CAUGCAAGUCGAGCGGUAAGGCCCCUUCGGGGGUACACGAGCGGCGGACGGCUGAGUAACACGUAGGAACGUACCCCAAACUGAGGGAUAACUCUGGGAAACCAGAGCUAAUACCGCAUGUGCUCCAAGGAGUAAAGCUUCGGCGGUUUGGGAACGGCCUGCGCAUGAUUAGCUUGUUGGUGAGGUAAUGGCUCACCAAGGCGACGAUCAUUAGCUGGUCUGAGAGGAUGAUCAGCCAGACUGGGACUGAGACACGGCCCAGACUCCUACGGGAGGCAGCAGUAGGGAAUUUUCCACAAUGGACGAAAGUCUGAUGGAGCAACGCCGCGUGCAGGAUGAAGGCCCUUGGGUCGUAAACUGCUUUUAUAUGUGAAGAUUAUGACGGUAGCAUGUGAAUAAGGAUCGGCUAACUCCGUGCCAGCAGCCGCGGUCAUACGGAGGAUCCAAGCGUUAUCCGGAAUUACUGGGCGUAAAGAGUUUGCGUANGCGGCAUUGUAAGUAGGACGUGAAAGCGUAUGGGCUCGACCAUAUAAACAUGUCCUAAACUGCAAAGCUANAAUAUAGAAGAGGUAGCUGGAAUUCUUUGUGUAGGAGUGAAAUCCGUAGAUAUAGGAGGACACCGAUGGCNUAGCAGGCUACUGGGNNANUAUUGAUGCUAA
rnacentral:rRNA from 1 species